AGAAACUUAGGAUAAGAUACUAAACCGAGGGCCUUCAAAGCCCUAAACAAGAGUUAAACCCUCUUAGUUUCUG
rnacentral:tRNA from 1 species